rnacentral:lncRNA from 1 species
AGACUCUCUGUCCAGUGAGUCCUAUUGCCAGAGGCACUGAACUAACAUCAACAAAUUCGACAUAAGCAAUUCCCUUUGAACGUCUGGAAUUUCUAUCAGAAAUCAUCCGCACAUCACGAACCUUCCCUACUGUAGAGAAAAAUUCUUCCAGAUCUCUUGGUCGAAUUCUUGCAGCUAGCUGCAUGCAGAAUACUGUUCGAGCAUCCCUCUCUUCAGGGGUAAGAUUAUCAAUAGGUUCUCUAACAGGGCUCUUGUCUUUUCUGAAGGGACUUUUGCUUCUGGAACGCCGCCUGCUUAAUUUGAUGCUGUGAGGCAGACCAAUCUUCCCUCUGAUGGCACUGUUGAAUUUGGGACCAGAAUAGGGACUCCUAUAGCGGCCUCUGAAUCUGCGAUCCCUGCUCCUGGAACGGCUGCGUCUGCGCUCCUUGCUUCUGCUCCGCUUCCUUUCCCGGCUUCUGCUCUUUUUUCUUUCCCGAUCUCGGCUCCGCUUACGCUCCUUGCUUCUGCUCCUCUUUCUGUCAUGGCUUCGACUUCGGCUCUUGCUCUUUUUUCUCUUCUUGCUGCGUUCUUCGUGGCCAUUGGCACUGCUCAAUUUGUUCUCAUCCUUAUGAUUGACAGUUCACACUGGAAUCAAAGGUGAAUUCAUGGGAGUAGAGGUGAGAUAUCGUUAGGCAA